rnacentral:rRNA from 1 species
UCCUACGGGAGGCAGCAGCAAGGAAUAUUGUGCAAUGGGCGAAAGCCUGACCCAGCGACGCCGCGUGGAGGAAGAAGGCCCUCGGGUCGUAAACUCCUUUUCUCAGGGAAGAAUAAUGACAGUACCUGAGGAAUAAGCCCCGGCUAACUACGUGCCAGCAGCCGCGGUAAUACGUAGGGGGCGAGCGUUAUCCGGAUUUACUGGGCGUAAAGAGGGCGUAGGCGGCUCUUCAAGUCGGAUGUGAAAUCUCCCGGCUUAACUGGGAGGGGCCAUUCGAUACUGUUGGGCUUGAGUACAGCAGAGGGAGGUGGAAUUCCCGGUGUAGUGGUGAAAUGCGUAGAUAUCGGGAGGAACACCAGUGGCGAAGGCGGCUUUCUGGUCUAUCUCUGACGCUGAGGAGCGAAAGCUAGGGGAGCAAACGGGAUUAGAUACCCCAGUAGUCCAGUCCCCCUACGGGAGGCA